AAAACCCUAAUCUCCACUGCCACUUACCACCGCCACAUGCUUCCCCUUUCUUCUAACAUACCAACACACAGCAACAGAAAUUAGAAGCAAGAAAGAAAAGGGAGAGAUCGAUCCUAGAGUGAGGCUGCGAUGGGGAAGAGAGAAGAGAGGAGGGGGAACUGCUGCCGCACCGCCACCGCGUCUUGAUGCCGCCGUCGUCUUCUCGGUGGAGCCAUGCGCGAGAGAGGAAGGUCGAAAGAGAGAUAGUGAUUCGAGAGAGAAGAGGAAGCAGCGCUGUCACCCAGCCGCCUUGCCUCCUUACUGCAGCCGAGUCACCCAUUCCCGUCGCUGUUCCGGCGCCGUGUAGCCAUCGCCGCCAUCAUCACGAGCUGCACAUCAUCGCCGUUAGAUCCACGUCGCGUCGCCGUGGCCGGAGCUUCUGCCACCACCGAGGAAGCUCGCGAAGGGAGAGAAGGAACCGCGAGCUAGAGGAGCCGUUGUCGUUGCCGUUGUUGCCCCGCCGCUGCCACCAUGACCGCGGGUGGAGUCCGCCGUCGAGCUGUGUGCCGCUGAUGGUGGUGAACCAAACGUUGCCCUUGAUGCUGGAGAAGAACACCGGAGUUGCUGUUCUGGUUCCGAUUCCUCCAUUUUUGAAACUUAUUGGUGUCGAUGCUGUUUUGGGACUGUUGUAGCUGUUGCUGGUUCUGUGUGAGGUUACUGCUGCUGCGAGAUAGGGAAAAAAGGAAUUUGUCGCAGUUAUAGAUUUCUUCGAGUUCCGGUUAAUUAAGGAUAAUUUUUUCGUACUGGUAAAGACAACAGGAGUUGACUAGUUUCUGCGGCACCGUUUAUAACAACUUCGAAUAUUCUUUACUUUUUAAUAAGAGACUUUAUCCGAUAUUACAUGUAAUGGAUAAAUUGCACUUUAUUUUGAUUAGUGUUGUAAUGGAUAUUUAUUUUUUAAUAAAAUUUUUAUGAUUUA